rnacentral:rRNA from 1 species
UGGGGGAUAUUGCACAAUGGGCGAAAGCCUGAUGCAGCGACGCCGCGUGGGGGAUGAAGGCCUUCGGGUUGUAAACUUCUUUUGCUCUGAACAAGGCAUGCCUUUGGGGUGUGUUGAGUGUAGGGGUUGAUUAGCGCCGGCUAACUACGUGCCAGCAGCCGCGGUAAUACGUAGGGCGCGAGCGUUGUCCGGAAUUAUUGGGCGUAAAGGGCUUGUAGGUGGCUGGUUGCGUCUGUCGUGAAAGCUCAUGGCUUAACUGUGGGUUUGCGGUGGGUACGGGCUGGCUUGAGUGCAGUAGGGGAGGCUGGAAUUCCUGGUGUAACGGUGGAAUGCGCAGAUAUCAGGAGGACUACCGGUGGCGAAGGCGGGUCUCUGGGCUGUUCCUAACGCUGAGGAGCGAAAGCGUGGGGAGCGAACAGG